rnacentral:piRNA from 1 species
UCUCAUGGUACUGGCAUCUGCAAAACACUGC